GCAUAUCUAAGAUAAUUGCUUUUAAAGAGGUAUAUUCUAGGUUUUUGCUGUAACAUUAAAGUAAAGAAAAAUAUAUUGGAAAGCAGGGUUGGUGUCUGCUUCUCAGUGCAAUGUGGCUUCAGAUGGAAAUCAGGACACUCUUCUCAGCUGUGUGUGCCUGACUGCCAGGCUGCAAGAAUUACUAUUUAUUUCUCUGAAGCCACUGAACUUGACCUUUAUAGGGCUGCAGUGAUAUGCCACAUGAAAGGGCCAUGGGGCCAAUCCAUCAAUAGCUAUUUUUUUCCUCUGCACCUGUGAGCUGCCUUUUGGAUGGGAAUAACUUGAAAAGACUUGAUCUUCAGUACAGAGUGACAAGUUCAUUACUAAUACAGACCAUGUAUGACGUGUUUUGUAUGUAGUGAGUCAUGAUACUGUUCUGAGGUAGUGUUUUUCCUUGUCCCUGACUUGGACAUUUAAACAAAAUGUCAUGGAUUUACAGAAUAAAGAGAUGAAGUUGGUGUUUAAGUGAGGAUUAAGACUGGGGAGUUUCUAUACAUGGCAUCUGGAUCUGGGACAUUGCCAGUGUUUAUAUUGUGUAAUGUAUUGCCAAUUCUGGCAGCACAUGCAAUGUUUACCUCAGUGUGCCACAGAGCUGAGAUCCCCCUGCAGAAAGGCGCUCAGCCCUGAUGUGCUUCACCUUUUGCAGGGCUGCCCUAGCAGGGGUUGCACAAGGUGGGCAUGUCCCAGCCUGGCAUCUCUGCAGCAGGAUCAUGUGCAUGUCCCCCAGCAAACACCUACUGAGGCUUCAUUCUAAAGUUUGCAUUUCAAAUUGUGAGAUCCCAGCACAGGAUAUGAGGCAUUAAUGAUUGACCAUAAUUAAUUCUGAUUUGACAGUCUCGGUACCUGCUCCUUCUUCUUGACCAUUAGACAUAGGGUGGCAGGACAGGAAUCACAGUGCUAACAGCACUGCUUGUUUGGGAAUACUAAGGAUAGAUUGUCAACAAUGGAAGGUACCAGCUUGCAUUGUGGCAUACUUGCUAAUUUUCUGUUAGAUUUGACUCAUUCUUUCAUUGGCAGUUUUUGUUGGACCUCUUCUGAAUGGUUAUUUGCAUCUGCAGUGAUUGUCAAAUAAAGGCCACCCAGGUUAAUGCUGUUUACCAUUCACAAAUAAGAAGUGAACCUCUAUUUAAUGAACAAAAUAUUGUGUAAAGUGUGUCACUGUACUGGCAACAUUGUGCUGCAACCUGUGUUGUUAUCAUCUUGACGCAUGUGUGUGUUCAUUUCUCUCCUACUUAGUGUCAUGACCUCUAUGACCUUGUGCUUCAGCAUUGCACUGCCAAACUGUGGGAAGGAAAGCAUGCAAAAUUUCAUGUCUCAUUAGAGUUUAUCCAAAUGGAAGAAAAAACUGGGACAAAGCCCAACUGGAAUCUUUAUGGAGACAAAUGUUGGGUUCUAAACAGAUUAUCUGUGUCCUCUCUAAAUAACCUUCCUGUCCCUGUAUUUCCAUGGGCAGACUUGUGUUUGGCUUUCAGAUGCAGAAAACAAGACAAGCAUCUUCAUGCCCUGACUGGAAAAGAUCCAUUAUUUUAGUCCAUUUGAAAUGAUGAUGUUUACCAAAUUUCAUCUUGUGCUAAAAUCUUUCACAAUCAUUGCAUUUUCUGACACAGGCAUAAAUAGUGUUUAGUAGAAUAAGUAGUGAUGAGCCAUAUGCUAGGUUAGGAAAAAAGAAGGUGGAUUUUUUUAAAUGCAAACUAUUUAUGAUGGACAACUUGUGCUUUCUUACAGAGCAGUACUUCUGGAGCUGAAACGUGUUCAUGUGUUGCUGCCUUCUCUGUCAGAUAGACCUUUCCACAGUCACCUCUGGCAGCUGUUUUUCAGUUGUGUUUUGAUUGUUUUUUGCAACAAACCAUUGUGUUUGUUUGUUUUUUGGCAACAAACCGCUUCUGGAGUGCAGGGAGACAGGGAUCCCGAGCGGAGCAGGCAGGAGGGAGCACGGCCGGGAGAUGUGUGUGCCACAGGCUCCAUCCCACGGCCGGCGGGAGCGGCCUGGGAAUUCACAGGCGCAUUCACAGCUGCUGAAAUCCAGCACGGUUGGUUCCAAAGCCACACUUCUUGCAUAACCAGAAAGAAUUUACCUGCCAAGGAAACUGGCAUCGAUGCUUUCUGCACAAAAUAGACGCGAUAGGAGCGCAGUGAACGUUGUAAAAGCAAGGCAAAAGACACCGGCUUUGGAGAAGGACAAGAAUUUGGAGAGGGAUAGACCAAACACCUGGACCCUGCUGUGUCUGCCACUUGCUAUGUCUUCAAGGAAGUGUAAAGCUCAUUAGUUUGUUUUCCAACCUCAGAUGUGCUCAAUAUGCGCCCACACCAUGUAAGCAUCCAGCACUGAGCCUGUCCAGUCAGCAAGAUGUGCAGCUACAGUGUGCUCUACUUAAUCCAACCAAUCAAUUCUGACAACACUGACAAUCAGGAUGGAAAUGUCAGGCUUUACAGAACAAACUGGGACUUUGCAAGACCAGGCCUGGAGGGGAGUUUGGUACCACGCUGAGACUGACAGGAAUGUGGGACCCUGAAGCAGGGAGGCCUUACCACGGGGCAGGAGAACUUCUCGCUGUCGCAGACGUGCGUCUCGCAGUGCAGCCACACCUUGGACAGCUUGGGGAUGUUGCGGAAGCGGAAGGCGUUGAACUGGAACGUGGCCCGGUUCGUUUUCCCGUUCUCGUGCACAAGGAUGGAGUAGUCCGUGGCACACCUGUGUCGUGUGUGGAGGAGCAGUGUCAGAGCCCCCAUGGCUUCAGUGAAACAUCUCCUGAGGUGACAGUCUAAUGAAAGCAUUUGCCCUGCUGGGGGCCAGCUUUUCCUUUGCUCCCUAUACCCCACCACCAUCCUCAGGGCUGGGCUGAGUACAGGUGCUCCCCUGGGUCCCACCAGCACCUACCCCUUGGUGAUCAAAGGCCAGUGGAUCUGGUAGAAAUACUCUGAGGAGGGAGUUGCCCAGCAGUUGUUGAGAACAACUUUAAAUCUGGGGAGAUACAAACCCCAGAUUAGCAAGAAAUGUCCCAAUUGCCAAUUUAUUACUCAUUCCUCCUUCCCUUGCCUACCUGUCACUUAAGCCCUUGGCUUCCACGCCAGCAAAUAUGUCAGAACCAAUUUCAGAUGUUUCAACGACAAAGGGGGCUUCCUUUAUACUUGAGAACUUGGCAUUCUUUGGAAGACAAAGACAAAGGCAUAAUACAUUACUCGUAACAUGCAAAGCAAGGCAUGAUUCAAAUUCAGACACCACUGGAGAGACUGACUCCAGAAAUCUGGGUUCUUAUAACCUGCAACCUCCAAACUCUACACUGGUAGUAGGAGUAUUGAAAACCCAAGAUGAUGUUUAAAAAUAUUUUUGUUUAUAUUUGGUGUAUAAUGAUGAUCAGUGACAGAAUUUGCUGCUGUUUGGGUUGUAGCAUGUAUUGCAUGUAUUCCCAGCAGCUUGCUGCUGCUGCUUCUGGUGGUGGAGAGAGCUGGUGGGAGUAAGAGAGUGGAGAUAGGUUUGUAGGAUGGGAAUGGAGUCAGAACAUGGCCAGAUGUUGGAGAAAAGGAAUGAAAUCAAGCAGAAAUCACAAAAGAAAAAAAAAAAAAAGCCAGCUGAAAAGUUUUUGUUACAAAUACACUGAAAUGCCUACCUUAAAUUCCAAUGCUUCUUGUUGGGUAAGAUGGAAACAAAGCUAGCACCAGAAUUAUACAAAGAAUAUCAGAUUUAGUCCUAGCAUUGGCUUACCUAGUGGUAAAUGCUCCUUUUACCAGGCCUAUAAUUUAAACACAGUAUGUUCCUAGUUGUGCUUUUUCUAGCUGUGCUAAAAUAAAGAGGCUGUUUUGGUGCUUUUGACUGUGCUUUUGUGGACAAAAGAUUCCAGGAUUAGGAGCUGGCUGCUCCAACAGUGCAGUGGAGCUAUAGAGAGGAGAGGGAUGCUUCAAAAGAUCUAACAGAUAUCAAGGGACAAUAUUUUGUUGGCAACAAAAUUCCAGCAUGACCUAAAGAUCUGUGGGGUACAUGAAACAUCUGUCAGUGGAGGACCAGGGAGAAAGCUACAAGAGAAAUGCAAGGAGCUUUGCUGUGUCUAUAGAGGCUGUGCAAGGCCAGGAGUAUGUGCAGAUUCAUGCUGCUCUUGCAGUGGGACUACACACUAGUUUUGAUUUUUCUUCUAAAACCUGUCAGCAGGUUAGAAAUGUACCUCUCAGCAGAAAAAUCUGUCUGAUUUUGAGGGAUUAAAAGAACAGUUGGCAUGUGUCUGCUCUGUUCACUUUAAGUAUAUCCCUGUUAAUCAGCAGAAAGAAGAACCCCUGCCAAUCCCACUGCAAUUAUCUGUUCCAGGCUAGAAGUGUGCUCCAUGACAAAUAAAAGUCAGGAGCAGCCGCCCUUUUUUUCCCAGCUCUUCAGCUGAAGCCUUUGUAAGGUAAAGGUGAAGGUGUGAGUGGCAAAGAGCACUUACAGAGUAGAAGUUGAGGGACAAUUGGCUUUCAAAUGAGCCGGAGCUCCCGUUCUUCACAUGGACAGUGGCCACCCUGGGGACAGGACAGAAUUCUGCAUGAGUGAGGCAUGGUGAUGAGGACAGGGUGAGACACACUCCCAGAAGAGGAUAUACCUUUGGUCAAAGGCAGCCUGGUUCACCAGGUAGUUGGCAUUGUACGUGCAGGUGAAUGAGUAAUUCACGGGCUGGUUCUUCACAAUCACUGAGGAGUCAUUGGAGACGAUGGAGUUAUAGAAGUGAUACACGGGAUUCUUGAACUGUGAAUGGUGAGACACAGAAAUGUGGGCAGUACUGAGUCCUAGAGACAUCAGGAAUGUACUUUGAAACAUGAAGACUCUGGUGUCAAAACAGCCUCCCCAAGGAAACAUGGUUUGGUAACUCUUUAUAUGCUGUGCUGCCUAUUCAUAUGCCUUACUAAACAUAAAUUCUGUGUAAUACAGGUGCAAGUGAACAGGAGACUAAUAUCACUAAGCUUGUGAGUAUUUUGCCUGGAACUGGAAAGCACAGAGCUGUGUGAUUCUUCCUUCUCCUUGACUCUGCAGUUUGCCUCCUUCUUCCCUUGGCACCUAAAGCUUACUUCAAGCUGAAGAGCAUAGGACUUAAGUGAGUGCAGCCAUUUCUUGAGUCAGAAAUUCUGACCUUCAUAGUCUUACCUCUGACUGUGUGCCACAGUAUGAUUUGUUUUUAGGUGAAAGGUCUGGGAUUGUGAAUUGGUAAUAUCCUGAAUCGUGGAUCCCAUUGUAGCAAAUGCCUCCAAGUGCCAGCUGAUUAACCUCCCAUCCAUAAGGACACUCUGGAAUUCUGGUAAUGAUGGUUUUAGGAUAGCAGUAUACCAGAAUUACAUCUGGAAGGAAAAUGACACACCCGGAGUUAUUGAGUAGUAAUUUCCUUUCAAAGAGGUGGGCCCGCCCACUCACUUUCCAUUGGGCUUAACCUUCUGCGAACAGGGGUGUGUGCUGGAACAUCCCCUAAUGAGAGCAGCUUUUGCUACACAAAAUGGACCUUUAAGUGGUUAAAUUCUGUCCUCUUUGGAAGAGUUUAGCCUUGGCCUUUUAAUCAAUGCAAAACUUUGUGAAAAUUUUUUAUCUUUCUGGAAUAGCUGAUUGAAAAGCAGAGACACUGCUGAGAAACCUGAAGUAAAAAAGACUGCACUGAAAAUGUCUCAUUAAUUUAUGCUGCAAAGCUGGCUUCUGUAACACCACUGACUCUGUAAAAAUAAUAUUGGUGAGGUUGUUUGGUAGGCUUUGUAGAUCUGCACUGUUUUGUAAUGGUGUAUCGAUCUUGGCCACAAUAAAUAUUCUGCUCUUUCUCGGACUGGCACUAUAGUGCUAGCACAAACUGAAUUUUUCCAAUUGUCAAGUCAAAAGCCAAGAUUUAAAACUGAACUGAAGAACCUGGGCCUUCUAACAACAAUAGGAAAUUACCCAAACUCCCAGCCCUGCUACCAGCAGUGCUGUGUGUUUCCAAACAUGGUGAUUGCUAAUAUAUACAUGAAUGCUGAACAUCAUUACAGACAGACUGAUUGCUUCAUGAUAGCAGAUUUGGUAUUUUUCACAGGCAGAGCUAAUUUGAACUUCUGAUGGAAAUAAGGCCAAAUAUUGACUAACCAUUAGUGACCUGAAAAUUGAGGAAGACUUAUUCAGUUACUUCUUUUAAAGCCCUUGCCACUCUCAUUUUUUAUGCUAAAAGCCUCAUUUUGCAGCCUUUCCAUGUCUGCUAGGGAAUAAUCUGGGAAAGUCAACUAAACAUCUUAACAACUUGCUUUUUUCUGAUUAACAAAUCUUUAGCACAUGCAAGCUGAUUCUGCUUGUGUUAAUGCUCAGAUUUAAAACUGGCAACUUGAGAGCUAUGAAAAUUCCUGUAGUUAAGAAAAACUGCUUGUGCAAAUAAAGGUACUGAAAUAAAUGGCUAGAGGGCCAAAUACUUUAGAUAUACCAUGAAAUGACUGACAGCAUUCUGACAGCAGUCAUGCACUAAAAAACAAACACUAAAUUGAGGCAUAUUGCAACAAAUUUCUAGAGCACAUUUUGUAAUUGUAGUGAAAUCUCCAUUACAGGUCUGUCUGGCACCAGAUCACUUCAGUUUGUAGGCACUAAUCAGUGUGCAAUUAGAUCACUACCUUCAAUGAUUUUUGUAUUUUUCUUGCUUUAAUAUAACAGUGUGUUUCAGGGGUUCAGCCCAGCACAUUCAAUCACCACUGGCAAUCUGACUGUAGUCCGUGGGACUAAAGCCCAGUUUGGGCAGCAAAGAUCUGCUGCAUCUGUGCUAUUACAGAACAUUUCUAAUUGCUUUUGUUCUCUUUGCUAUUUUAUGCUUUUGUGAUUAACUUUCCUGCACUAUGGUUAUUCAGAGUUAACUAUAGGCCUAAUUCUUUGUGGGGUUAGGACUUGUAUGGAACAUUCUUUACUGUGCUAGCUAGCUCAAAACAGGUCAAUAAAAGAAAUGUAAGGAUUAGGUCUACAGAACCCACAGUUUAACUUUCUGAAGGAAAACCUUUUGAUUUUGAA